UUUUUACAGAAUACUGUAGCUUAAUACUUGAAGGUUAAAUUCAGAGAUGGAGACAAAAACUUUACAGAUUACUGUAAUUCCAUGUUUUAAAGUAAAACAACCAAAUGUCAGAAGUAAUUUUAAAAUUAUAAAAUGGAUUUUUCGGACUAGGGCCAUAGCACGAUAUAGAGACAGACAGGUUGCUGUGUUCUCGAACCCGAUUUUCGAUUUUGGAACUCCUGAACCAUUAUUUGUUGGGAUUUGACUUCAUAUUGGGGCACAGAAUGGUAUGGUUCUGGAUUGUACUAGUGGAUUGGGAUUUAUACAGUUUCUAAAAUGGAUUGUUACACAACACUACACCAUGAUAGAUAAAUUCAAAGCUUCGCCCAAACCGUCGCGUACGUGGGAUCCCAAUAAGGACCUAUUUUGCCUUACACCUGGGUGAGGUCGAACAGAACGGCAAAAUGAGGCAAGAGAUACACCCGUUUGGUGAAGAUGAACUCAUUCGAAAAAAGCAACUCAGAAUUGAAGAUAAUAGAUUAUAAUUCCAAUUCGGAUGUGGAACCUUUAGGAAGGGGCCCGUAUGUUAUUCAAAACACUAAUAAUAUAAUUACGCAUGUUUUUCAAGCGAGGAUGCCAUAGAACUGUAGUUUUUCCGAAAUUAUUUUGGUGUAUAGCUGCUACCUAUUAUGUUAUUUUUGUAGUUUUUUUAAAUAAAGUGUCAAAAUGUGUAGUUA